rnacentral:rRNA from 1 species
UACAGAGGGUGCGAGCGUUAAUCGGAAUUACUGGGCGUAAAGCGUGCGUAGACGGUAGCGUAAGUCAGAUGUGAAAGCCCCGGGCUCAACCUGGGAAUUGCAUUUGAGACUGCUCUGCUCGGGUGCGGAAGAGGGAAGCGGAAUUUCCGGUGUAGCGGUGAAAUGCGUAGAUAUCGGAAGGAACACCAGUGGCGAAGGCGGCUUCCUGGUCCAGCACCGACGUUCAGGCACGAAAGCGUGGGGAGCAAACAGG